ACCCCCUGCUCGCCGUCUCCACCAGCUGGGAUCUCUGGUGCGUCCAGCCUCCCCACCCGGCCUCCCACCUCUCUUUCUCCAGGCACCGCAGACAUAAAUCACGGGCGGGAGGCAGGCUCGGCUCCCUGCGCCGGGAAGUCGCGGCUCGCCUCCCGUGCUCACACAGGGUUUUGCAGUAGUGGUGACAGCCACCGACGAACCGGGCGCUGGGGAAGCAAUUGAUUCGUCCGCUGCCGGCAGCCCAGAGUUGCCUACGCGGACAGGAGAGGGGGAGACGGGCGCAGAGCAGAGCCGAGCAGAGGCUGCCUUAGGGAAACCUUGAUCCAUGCGAGUGGUUCUGGAGCUAGGAACCAGUCUGCCCCUUCGCCCCCGGCUGACUAGAUCGACUUUUCUCCUCUUGCGGCACAGGCACCUCCACUGAGCUUUCAAACCAAGUCAUCGGGACUUAGCGUCUCCCAGUCGGCAGGGAAGGAGGGGUUGGCCAGAACCGGGCUCGCCUGUCUCCCCUGCAAUCCUCCGGGAUCGCGGAGUGCCAGUCACCCGCCAUGACGGACACCGUGGUCAGCAACAGCGCCAACCGAUGGAUGUACCCCAGCAACCGACCCCUGCAAUCAAAUGAUAAAGAACAGCUCCAGGCAGGCUGGAAUGUCCACCCCAGCGGUCAGCCCGACAGACAGAGGAAGCAGGAAGAGCUGACGGACGAGGAGAAGGAGAUCAUCAACAGGGUGAUCGCUCGGGCAGAGAAGAUGGAAGAGAUGGAGCAGGAGCGAAUCGGGCGUCUGGUGGACCGACUGGAGGACAUGAGGAAGAAGGUGGCGGGGGACGGGGUCAGCCGCUGCAUCCUGUGCGGGGAGCAGCUGGGGAUGCUGGGCUCGGCCUGCGUCGUGUGCGAGGACUGUAAGAAGAACGUCUGCACCAAGUGUGGAGUGGAGACCUCCAACAACCGCCCGCAUCCCGUGUGGCUCUGUAAGAUCUGCCUGGAGCAGAGAGAGGUGUGGAAGCGCUCCGGAGCCUGGUUCUUCAAGGGCUUCCCCAAACAGGUCCUCCCACAGCCCAUGCCUAUAAAGAAGAGCAAGCCCCAGCCACCGGUCAGCGAGCCUGCUGCCCCGGAGCAGCCCCCUGAGCCCAAGCACACGGCCCGCACUCCUGCUCGAGCUGACACUGAAGACAGGAGAGGCCCAGGUCCCAAAACAGGACCUGAGCAGGCACCUGCUCCUGGGCGGGGAAGCUAUGGGCCUCCCGUGCGCAGGGCCUCUGAGGCCAGAAUGAGCUCAUCUACCCGGGAUUCAGAGAGCUGGGACCAUGGCCAUGGCGGGGGAGCUGGGGACUCCAGCCGGAGCCCGGCAGGUUUGAGACGAGCCAACUCAGUCCAGGCCUCCAGACCCGCCCCGGCCUCGGUGCCCAGCCCAGCACCUCCUCAGCCUGGACAGCCAGGGCCCCCAGGGGGCAGCAGACCCGCUCCUGGGCCAGCUGGACGCUUUCCAGAGCAGAGACCAGAAGUGGCUCCUGGUGACCCUGGCUAUACGGGGGCCACCGCUCCACCCCGGGAGGAGAGAACAGGGGGAGCCGGGGGCUUCUCGGCAGCUGCAGCCCACCCGCCGGGCCCUUACCCCCAAGCAGCCGCAGCGGCCCCCCAGCCUGCCCCGGCCCCCGCCCGCCAGCCGCCCCCCGAGGAGGAGGAAGAGGACGCCAACAGCUACGAUUCCGACGAAGCCACCACCCUGGGUGCCCUGGAAUUCAGCCUGCUCUACGACCAGGACAACAGCUCCCUGCAGUGCACCAUCGUAAAGGCCAAGGGACUGAAGCCCAUGGAUUCCAAUGGCUUGGCCGAUCCCUACGUUAAGCUGCACCUCCUGCCGGGAGCCAGCAAGUCCAACAAGCUACGUACAAAAACCCUGCGGAACACGCGCAACCCCAUCUGGAAUGAGACCCUGGUCUACCAUGGCAUCACCGACGAGGACAUGCAGAGGAAGACCCUCAGGAUCUCCGUCUGUGACGAGGACAAAUUUGGCCACAAUGAGUUCAUCGGUGAGACCAGAUUCUCGCUCAAGAAACUGAAGCCCAACCAGAGGAAGAAUUUCAAUAUCUGCCUGGAGCGGGUGAUCCCGAUGAAGCGCGCUGGGACCACCGGGUCGGCUCGCGGGAUGGCCCUUUACGAGGAGGAGCAGGUGGAGCGCAUCGGGGACAUCGAAGAACGGGGCAAGAUCCUGGUGUCCCUGAUGUACAGCACGCAGCAGGGGGGCCUCAUCGUGGGCAUCAUCCGCUGUGUGCACCUGGCCGCCAUGGACGCCAACGGCUACUCGGACCCGUUUCGUCAAGCUCUGGCUGAAACCAGACAUGGGGAAGAAGGCCAAGCACAAGACUCAGAUAAAGAAGAAAACCUUGAACCCUGAGUUUAACGAGGAGUUCUUCUACGACAUCAAACACAGUGACCUGGCGAAGAAGUCGCUGGACAUCUCCGUCUGGGACUACGACAUCGGCAAGUCCAACGACUACAUCGGAGGGCUGCCAGCUGGGGAUCUCAGCCAAGGGAGAGCGCCUGAAACACUGGUACGAGUGUCUGAAAAACAAGGACAAGAAGAUCGAGCGCUGGCACCAGCUCCAGAAUGAGAACCACGUGUCCAGCGACUAGGACGCGCCCGUCCCCUCUCCGUGUCCCGCCCACUCCCGGGUCCCCCGCCACCCACUGCACCCGGUUCUCUCCUCUGUGCCUACCUCCCGCUCCCCCUGCCCUCCCCAUGCCUUCCAGGGCCCCCGCACCUUGGGCACCGCUGCCAAAGACCUCCGCCCCCGCCCCAGUGCUGGGUUGCGGGCUCUGAAUGCAGCCCCUCUCUGGUACCUAGGAUGAACCGGCAGGGCUGAGGCUGGGAGAUUUUUACAAAGAGGUGGUCAGUUUAGUAACCACCCCGCGUGGGCAGAUCACAGAGGUUCACCGCCAUCUGGAACGGUCUGUGGACCCUCCUGACCUCCUGUCCGUCCCGCAGUCCCGUCUGCGCGCCAUCAGCUGUGAACAGAGGCUCGGGCUGUGAGGACAGCAGGGGCGGAAGUAGAGCGGGCAGCCCCCCACUGCCUGUCACGCCCGCGAUGGCCAGGAGCGCCCGCCCCACCCUCCGGGCGUCCAGCCCGCAGGGAGCCCUGGGUCUGCUUCAGUCCGCGGCCUCCUCCCGCCCCAGGCUCCGCCCCCUCCCCGCCCCCUCUCCUGGUCCCCCAGAGGUAAUUGAGCAAAAAACUAAACCGCGCAUCUUAACACAGCCCGGCCCCGCCCCCGCCAGCCCUGAGGAGCUGGGCGACCCCUCGGUUCCGCGCGGCCACGCCCUUCAGGUCCCCACCCCUCCCGCUGGCUUGCCCGGAUGUCCUCAGCCUUGUCCCUGCUGCUGGCCCGGCCCAGGGGCACCGCAGCCUCCCUCCACUGUGCAGAUGCCCGGCCUCCCCGAAGGGGCACGGGGGACACUUGGGAGACCAGAGCUCCAGGUCCGAGGGGACCUCGCCACCCUGCCUUCUCCUUCCUCUGUCGAAUGAGCAAACGACCCCCCACACGCUGGCCGCUGGCUGGACUCUCCCCGGAGCCCCCAAGAGCCUUCCAUCUCUCUUCUGUCUCUUGGACGCUCUUUUUCAAGUUUCCUGGGGGAAUCAAAUAGCAUCGUAAACAUAACACCUUUUUUUUUU